UCCUCAUCUCUGCUACUCUCUCCUUUCCCUUACUUUAUUCCUGAGCAAUUACAAUGUUUUUUGUUUCUCGCCAGUUUUGUUACCCAUCCACGCCGGAGGAAGCUGUUUGAUCCUGGGGAGGUGUUCUGGAUAUUCCAGGAUAAAACCUUCAAGGACAACGAAUUGAUUUUCACGACUCAGCUUAUUUUUCUUGCAGGUUCUGUUCGUGGUUUUGCUGUUGUCCCAAGGUUGCUGUUCGGCGUCAAAUAUCCAACAAUUGGAGCAAGAGAGGGGAAGAAGAGGAAACUGAAAAAGAUGAUUAAUCCUGCAACGCUACAACAUCAGUGUUAAGAAUCACCAAUGAAGGAAGCCCAAGUGAAUUCAGAGGUGACGAUUGAACGUGGCUCAAUUCUUUAUAUGCUUUCCACAAGGAUGGGUUUGCUUAUGAGUUUCCUAGGUUGUUAGAUUUAUUGGUGAAACUUAAAACAAUAAAUCCCAAAAUCUUCACUGUAUCAUCAUUUCAUAUGAGUAUUUCAUUCAUAC
rnacentral:lncRNA from 1 species